GGGUCGAAAAGGAAAACUGAGCUUCUCCGCCUUGAAGAUUGCUAAAGCCAUAACAGAUGCUGCUCGCAAAGCGCCAAACGCAACCGCUGCCGACGUUGAGGCCUCUAUCAAAUCGUGGCUCCGACAUGCCCCCGAGCGCCUUGCCACCAGGUUUCAGAAGUCAAAGCAAGGACAACUUGAGCAAGCAGCAGAUACUGACUGAAACUUUU